AAUGUACAGGAAGGAUGAUCUAACUAUAGCUCCAAAUCAACAGAAUUCUUCUUGAUUUAUCUACGUAGAAAUCAUUGUUUGCAUCCUUGUUGCCGAGGGAUACAAAAUAUAUAUAAAUACCGAACUGACAAACCCUUUUUACCCAAAAGGUGUUUUCUUUUAAGCUUACAAUUCCAUUGGUACGCUCAUUUUUUGAAAAUGUCUGACACUGGAGGAUACAACGGUUGGUCUUGUACCCAUACUACCAAUCACGGCGGAGGAUGGGAAACGACUACUAGCACCCAUGGAGGAAACCAGGGUACAACAUCUACCCAUGGGGGAGGGUCAUCGCCUGGAUCCAGUACUACAUGUACCUACGGACCUGGGGGAGGGGUCAAUCCAACAGUAGGAGUGGGUUCAAAUGAAAGCGGACAUCAGGUGACCAUCGGAAUUACAAAGAAAUUUUAAACUAAGGUGUCGAUUGGACAAAUAUCCACCGAUCGAAAACAUGUGAAAAGUAGUAAAGAAUGUGACGCAAAGAUUUCACCAUUUAAAUGUUUAUGCUAAUAAAAUUUGUCUUACCAUCUGUU